rnacentral:lncRNA from 1 species
GCGGGCGUUGUUUUGGCCAGUCAGUGUAGAGUAGUCAUUAAGCCCGGCGGGUUAAUUUUUCAGCAACUUCUCCGUGUUUGUUUUAAGAAAGAGCAGCUGAAUGUUCUCGGCUUGUAAAAUUAACAUAUUAAGAAAACGCUCGGAUUAAGGGUUUUUAACCAGUGAAAUAAUCAUUAGCUACAUAACUGUCCACAAAGUCUGCAAAGGAGAAAGGGAGGAAAAUGUAACUGACUGUAAGCAGCCAAACUUCCCCGGCUAGAUGUUCAGCUAAUCAUCAGGUUGGAGGGAGAUCUUCGCUCUAAUUACACCUAAAAAAGUGGACUCGGUCAGAUUUAUGGUUGGAAAUGAUGGAACUCUUCAAAAACAUUCUUCAAAUCACCCUGCCCUUCAAACAAGUGACCUUCAACCUGCCACUGCCCGCAUGGACUGUGUGAAUUAGACUUGCGGAGCCAUGACCCUGUUACCAGUUCACCGGUUGUUCCUCCUUGGGUCACAUCUGAUUGAUGAGAAUGUGAGAAUAUAUGAGGGAAUUUUAACCACACAGUUGGCCACCAAGCCUGCAGAGAUAAAUGUGGUCGUCUGCAUACAGAGCUGGAGCAACACUGCCACCUAGAGCCUGAAGUUUGUCCUAGUGAAGCAACCACACAGCAUUUACUAAAGGACAGGUAAGUUCCCUCUCCCCAAUGCAAAGUCAAUCAACAAAUCAGUUGAUUAAUCAUGAGAAAAAAAAGUCAGAAUAAUGUAAGAAUCAUAAAAAAAAAGGAAUGUUACUUGAAAUAUUUUUUUUUAUUAAUUUAUAAUACAGGCUUUUAAGCAGAUUGUAUUUUUUUCUUUACAUUUAAUAUUCUGAUG